CGUCGCCUUGUGGUGUCCCUCCCCGCUGUUGAGUGCGGCCUCCUCGGCGCUCCCAAGAGCUCCGCGGCCACAGCUACGUUCGUGAUACGUUGGCAUCCCGACACGGGUGUGGUCGGCGGUUCAAGAAAUUUACUUUGCUGCCCGAGUCCUGAAGUACAUUUUCUGUUGUCCAUCAUUAGAAUAAUUUGAAUGCAGAUUUAUCAGCUUUGCUCCAACUUGCUUGAAUGAGCCAUUCCUGUCCGUUGACGUACCCUCCAGCCCCGAUUCUUUCAUGAAACAAGACAGAUUUAGAUAAGAGGACAAAGAAGCCAAACAGAAAUGCAGCUGCAAGAGAAAGUGUUCUACUAUGAACAUAUGAGGGAGUACAUACAGGACCAAAGGAACUUCCUCCCAGAAAGCCUUUCUGGGAAUGGUCCUUUAAUGUGAUGGACGCAAACAGCUGCAGCCCUAAGUAGCAACUUUGUCACUAGCUGUUCUUUCCUGCAUCUCUCUCUCUUCCACUUGAGUAACCUUGACAAAGGUCAUCAGACUGUAUUGUGCCUCAGCUAACCCACCAGAAAACUAAGUAAAAACCAUGGAUACAUGAAAACUAUAUGCUGCAUCUAACCUGAGUCUCAAUAGGUGAAGCAGCUCAAUUAGUUAUUUCAUUUGAGAUACGAAAACAAUCUUCAGGGAAGGAUUUUUUAAAAGUUGAGCCUCCAGUUCAUGAAUUGUAGUCUACAAAUCCACUGAAAUCAAAUGCAGAUGCUGUUAUUGCAGAAGACUAUGAUAUUACCUCAUACAUUUUUCAGCUAGUUUACAUGAUGUUUGAAAAGUAAAUGGCGUGACUAGUUAUUUCUGAACAUUUGAACAUCUCUAAAACCCCAUUGACACCAAGUACAGUGGAUCCAUCAUAUAAAGAAUUCAUUGUUCACUCGUGAGAGAACUUCUUUGUAAAUGGAGGUAACUAGAACUGCAACAGACUGGAAGAAUUCGGGACCUUCAUUCUAUUCUCCAUUUUAAAACCAGAACCUUGCUAUAAAUGACUCAACUCUAUUAAAAGCAAAAGCAAAAGCAAAGAAGUGGAGCUGCAGUGAGUUAUGUGGAAUUAAUUUUGCUUUAUUGUCAUGUAGACCUCAUAAACCUCUUGUAGUUUAUGAUGCCACGAGAAGACGUCUAAGGAGUGAUUUCCUUGCAAAUGACUGCAGUCUGUUUUCUGUAUUCAUUGGAGCAACACUUUUAGGGUUUCAUCCAAACUAGUGUUGAGCACCCUCAAUUCCUAAUGAAGUCAAGGGGAGUGAAGGGUGCUUAGCCAGAUUGGGACAUUUGAAGUGCAAGACCUGCUGGUGUCCAGGUACAGUGCUCUCCUGAUUCAACACAGCUUGGUGAUAGUGAUAUUAGUCUGAUGUUUGAGAAAAAGGAAACAUAGCCCCUCUGCUGAAUUGUUUCUGUUUGAGUUGCUGAUUCACUGCAGUCUUGCUGUAGAUGGUAAUAAAAUAAAAUUUCCAUUUCAGACAUGGAAACAUAGGCACAGCAGACCUGAACUGGAUCUCUGUAUGUGGGUUUGUAUAGUGGGAUAAGGAUUUUCCCUUGUA